AACAUCGCGCACCUGCGGGAACCUGCGGAGGGAUCAUUGAAGAACGCAGCCGGUCGCGCAUGCCGUGUGCGUGUACGUAGGCCACGCUAUUUGUGCCAAUUAUUAUGGAGAGGGCGCUGGUGCUGGUGCUGGCUAACUGUGUGGUUGGUUGGCAGUGGCAGCAGUGGGAUGUUAUAGUAUGGAACGAUUGACUGAGUGAGAUGAGAAUGGUGGUAGUAGUAGCAGCAGUAGUAACGACGG
rnacentral:misc_RNA from 1 species